rnacentral:lncRNA from 1 species
UGCUUUUCUUUUCCUUCUCUCGAUCUCACUUUCUCUCUCUCUCUCUCUAUAUAUAUAUAUAUAUAUAUAUAUAUUUUUUACCUCAUAAUAAUAAUAAUAAUAAAACCCUGCUUUGUUUUAAGUACUGUAACUCCCGAUCACCGUUACCCUUUUCGAUUGAUCUGAGCCCAUAACGCAUGUCAAGGCUCUGCCCGACUAAGUUCGUUUGGGUUCUGUCUCGUGACAUAGGGACAAGCUCAGAAGUUAUACCCAAAAUUUAUACCAGGAGAUUUUCUAGUUAAACCCUAAAGUUACAAAGUGGGUCCAUUCUCUUUUCUCACUGUUUUAUUUCCUUUUUGUGAUUCACCCAAAACCAUUAUUUAUUAUUUUAUUUUAUAAACCCUAUUUGAAACCCCAAGUAAUCCUGCAUAACCUCUAAAAUUUUCAGAAUAGUUGGAAUUAGGAUCAGGGCCCCUAAAACUCAGAGGGGGAUAUUCCCUAAUCAUAAUUAUCUUUACAAUUCGUUGUUGAAAUUCAAAUUGUACGAAACGUCGAUUCACCAGGGCUAUGCAAGACACGAGGCAACCCUAGACUAGAGGGGUGUGCCCCGCGACUCGCGACAGGGGGAGAGGAUCCCUCCGCGACUCGCGGGCGGGUCCAAUUUCGGGUAUAAAUAGGGGGGCUUGGGACUUGAACAGUGUGUCACACCCCGACCACGAAGAACAUACAAAACGUGGCGAAAACGUCGGGGAGUGUUGUAACAGAAUUUUUUGUUUCAAAUCCAUGGCAAUUGAAGUUUCGUUUUAUUAAUAAAACAUGAGAGUUUACAUUGUUUUAAACAAGAACCAAAGAGUACAUAACAUAAAUUGACUAGUUCUUGUCUCGUUUUAAGUCACUAAGGCACAGGUCCGCCUAAGUAUGUCUUGAUAAGUCCUAUGCAUCAUCUCCUGAAAACACAUGUGAAAAUAGGUACGUCAGCAUAAAAAUGCCUGUAAGAUACAUAGGUUUUGUGAAAACAGAAUUCAUGACUUAUGUUUGAGAAAACGUUUAGUCAUGAACCUUGUAAUUUGCUUUGUCUUGUAAAUCAUUUGAAAAACGAUAAGAUCAGAUGAUAUGUAUAAAUAAGAGAAUAAUAUAUGGUUAAAUGAAUAACCAUGUAAAAUGAGUUUGUAUAAGAUAAGUUGUUUGUAAAUCAAGGUCUUGUGAAAAGUGUGUUAUUUGUAUAAAAUGUUAUAUGUCUCAAAUUGAAAUGAUUCAAAUAACGCUACGAUAUGUAAUACCAUACAAACACUUAUAUAUAG